AUUGAACGCUGGCGGCAGGCCUAACACAUGCAAGUCGAACGGUAACAGGAAGCAGCUUGCUGCUUUGCUGACGAGUGGCGGACGGGUGAGUAAUGUCUGGGAAACUGCCUGAUGGAGGGGGAUAACUACUGGAAACGGUAGCUAAUACCGCAUAACGUCGCAAGACCAAAGAGGGGGACCUUCGGGCCUCUUGCCAUCUGAUGUGCCCAGAUGGGAUUAGCUUGUUGGUGGGGUAACGGCUCACCAAGGCGACGAUCCCUAGCUGGUCUGAGAGGAUGACCAGCCACACUGGAACUGAGACACGGUCCAGACUCCUACGGGAGGCAGCAGUGGGGAAUAUUGCACAAUGGGCGCAAGCCUGAUGCAGCCAUGCCGCGUGUAUGAAGAAGGCCUUCGGGUUGUAAAGUACUUUCAGCGGGGAGGAAGGGAGUAAAGUUAAUACCUUUACUCAUUGACGUUACCCGCAGAAGAAGCACCGGCUAACUCCGUG
rnacentral:rRNA from 1 species